CCCUUAGAUGUUCUGGGCUGCACGCGCGCUACACUGAAGCUAUCAACACGUUUUCCCUCCCUGAGGAGGGCGGGUAACCUUUUGAAUCAGCUUCGUGGUAGGGAUCGGGGCUUGCAAUUGCUCCCCGUGAACCAGGAAUUCCUAGUAGACGCGAGUCAUAAGCUCGCAUCGAUUACGUCCCUGCCCUUUGUACACACCGCCCGUCGCUACUACCGAUUGAACGUUUUAGUGAGGCAUUUGGACCGACGCAUCUCAGUUUAACCGCUGGUUUGUGUUGGAAAGACUUCCAAACUUGAGCGUUUAGAGGAAGUAAAAGUCGUAACA
rnacentral:rRNA from 1 species